rnacentral:lncRNA from 1 species
GGGGAGAUGGUGGUGUAGACGGGUGUGCUGUGAAGGCGUGGAUGGGAGUGAGGUCGUCUGUGUAGAUUUGGCAGUGGCGUAGACGGUGGGAUGGUGUAGAUGGGGUGGUGGUGCUGGUGUGGAUGGGAGGAUGGUGUAGACACAGGGGAGGUGAUGGUGUAGAUGGGUGGAUAUAGAUACGGCAGUGGUGCUGGUGUUGACAGGAGGAUGGUGUAGACAGAGGAGAGGUGAUGGUAUAGAUGGGUGGAUAUAGAUACGGCAGUGGUGCCGGUGUUGACAGGAGGAUGUAGACACAGGGGAGGUGAUGGUGUAGAUGGGUGGAUAUAGAUACGGCAGUGGUGCCGGUGUUGACAGGAGGAUGGUGUAGACAGAGGAGAGGUGAUGGUGUAGAUGGGUGGAUUGUGUACACGGGGUGCUGGUAUAGCUGAGGCAGUGGCGAUUGUCUAGACAGGAGGAUGGUGUAGAUGGAGGGGAGGUUGUGGUAUAGACAGGGUGGUAAAGCUCUGGAUGGGAGGAUGGGGUAGAUGACAUCCGGUGUACCCCACACGGAGACCGCGGAAGGCCCCUCCCCUGGGCGCGUGCUCACCGCAGUUGGUGUACCCCACCACGGAGAUCACGGGGAACUCCCGCCUCGUCCGCUGCCGGCGGAGCAGGUGCCUCUUCUUGCGAAGCCUGUCCAGGGCCUUCCUGAUCUUGGCCUCCUUCUCUCUCAGGAGACGCUGCUGCAGCUGCAUGA